GGUUGUAGCUCAGUGGUAGAGUGCCUGCCUAGCAUGUGUGAGACACUGGGUUCCAUUCUCAGUACCA
rnacentral:tRNA from 1 species